rnacentral:ncRNA from 2 species
GACUGCGCACCGCUUCAAGGUGACCCCCACGGCUCGCGCCGCCGGGGUUGAAACGGGAAGCCGGUGACACGCCCUCCUCCGAUCGGACGAGCCGGCGCCAUUCCGGCACUGCCCCCGCAACGGUAAGCCAGUCAGAUCGCGGCAUCCGCCACUGUGCAAGGCACGGGAAGGCGCCGCGACCGGAGUCGACCCGCGUCGGCCCGCUGGCGAGUCCGGAGACCGGCCUUGGGGUGCUACAGGUU